rnacentral:rRNA from 1 species
AGUUUGAUCCUGGCUCAGAACGAACGCUGGCGGCGUGGAUAAGACAUGCAAGUCGGACGAGAUUUUUCGUUGUAGCAAUACGAUGGAAAGUCUAGUGGCGAACGGGUGCUUAACACGUGGGCAAUCUGUCUUAAAGUGGGGGAUAGCUCGGCGAAAGCCGGAUUAAUACCGCAUGUGAUCAGGGAAGACAUCUUCCUGAAAUCAAAGGUGCCGCAAGGUACCGCUUUUUGAGGAGCCCGCGGCCUAUCAGCUUGUUGGUGAGGUAACGGCUCACCAAGGCGUUGACGGGUAGCUGGUCUGAGAGGACGACCAGUCACACUGGGACUGAGACACGGCCCAGACACCUACGGGUGGCAGCAGUCGAGAAUUUUUCUCAAUGGGGGAAACCCUGAAGGAGCGACGCCGCGUGGAGGAUGAAGGUCUUCGGGUUGUAAACUCCUGUCAUUUGGGAACAAGUCGUACGUAUUAACUGUACGUGCGUUGAUAGUACCAGAAGAGGAAAGAGACGGCUAAACUCUGUGCCAGCAGCCGCGGUAAUACAGAGGUCUCAAGCGUUGUUCGGAUUCAUUGGGCGUAAAGGGUGCGUAUGCGGCGCGGUAAGUCGGGUGUGAAAUC